AGAUUGAACGCUGGCGGCAGGCCUAACACAUGCAAGUCGAGCGGCAGCACGGGUACCUGUGCCUGGUGGCGAGCGGCGGACGGGUGAGUAAUGCCUAGGAAUCUGCCUGAUAGUGGGGGAUAACGCUCGGAAACGG
rnacentral:rRNA from 1 species